rnacentral:rRNA from 1 species
AUUGAACGCUGGUGGCAGGCCUAACACAUGCAAGUCGAACGAGUGGCGCACGGGUGAGUAAUGUCUGUGAAACUUCCCGAUGGAGGGGGAUAACACCGGGAAACGGUAGCUAAUACCGCACACCAUCAGAUGUGCCCAGAUGGGAUUAGCUUGUGGGUGGGGUAACGGGUCACCAAGGCGACGAUCCCUAGCUGGUCUGAGAGGAGGACCAGCCAAACUGGAACUGAGACACGGUCCAGACUCCUACGGGAGGCAGCAGUGGGGAAUAUUGCACAAUGGGCGAAAGCCUGAUACAGCCAUGCCGCGUGUAUGAAGAAGGCCUUCGGGUUGUAAAGUACUUUCAGCGGGGAGGCGUUACCCGCAGAAGAAGCACCGGCUAACUCCGUGCCAGCCGCCGCGGUAAUUC